CAGAAAUUUGUGAUCUAAAAAUGGGGUCACGACCCGAAAAAGGUUGGGAACCACUGCUCUGUAAUCUAUUAAUUCUAACAGGUUUGUCAGAGAGAACGUUCCUAAAUGUGCAGUAAAACAAGGAUAAAAGUGUAACUUGUGCUUAUUUAUAGGUUUUUAUGCUCAGAUUUGACUGAUUUUAACCACUUUGGAUCAGACUUGUGAUUAUGAAAGCUUUGCUUCUCCCCAGUAACUUUUAAACUUUACUGUGGAUUUUUCCUUUUAGGUAAAAAAGAUGGACUUGGACGAAAGGAGAAGACAGGAAGAAAGAGAAAAGGAUGAGAAUAUGAAAGCUGAACAAAGGAGGAAGGCUGAGCGUUUAGAGAAGAAGAUGGAGGAGAAAGCGAAGCAGGAACGUAAUGAUCCAAUACGCCAACGGUAAAUCUUGGAUCAGAUUCACACUUUUUUCUGCACCUUGAAAAACACCACACUGCUGUUUAACAACUGUAUCAACAAACUCAUAGAACAGUAUCUGCAAUGAAUACUA
rnacentral:lncRNA from 1 species